rnacentral:rRNA from 1 species
AAACCAACUGGGAUUACCUUAGUAACGGCGAGUGAAGCGGUAAGCUCAAAUUUGAAAUCUGGUACUUUCAGUGCCCGAGUUGUAAUUUGUAGAAUUUGUCUUUGAUUAGGUCCUUGUCUAUGUUCCUUGGAACAGGACGUCAUAGAGGGUGAGAAUCCCGUUUGGCGAGGAUACCUUUUCUCUGUAAGACUUUUUCGAAGAGUCGAGUUGUUUGGGAAUGCAGCUCAAAGUGGGUGGUAAAUUCCAUCUAAAGCUAAAUAUUGGCGAGAGACCGAUAGCGAACAAGUACAGUGAUGGAAAGAUGAAAAGAACUUUGAAAAGAGAGUGAAAAAGUACGUGAAAUUGUUGAAAGGGAAGGGCAUUUGAUCAGACAUGGUGUUUUUUGCAUGCACUCGCCUCUCGUGGGCUUGGGCCUCUCAAAAAUUUCACUGGGCCAACAUCAAUUCUGGCAGUAGGAUAAAUCAUUAAGAAUGUAGCUACCUCGGUAGUGUUAUAGCUUAUUGGGAAUACUGCUAGCUGGGAUUGAGGACUGCGCCUUCGGCAAGGAUGUUGGCAUAAUGGUUAAAUGCCGCCCGU